rnacentral:rRNA from 1 species
UACGGAGGGUGCAAGCGUUAUCCGGAUUUACUGGGUUUAAAGGGUGCGUAGGUGGAUAAGUAAGUCAGUGGUGAAAUCUCCGGGCUUAACCCGGAAAUUGCCAUUGAUACUAUUUGUCUUGAAUACUUUGGAGGUAAGCGGAAUAUGUCAUGUAGCGGUGAAAUGCUUAGAUAUGGCAUAGAACACCAAUUGCGAAGGCAGCUUACUACACAGUGAUUGACACUGAGGCACGAAAGCGUGGGGAUCAAACAGG